GACGAACGCUGGCGGCGUGCUUAACACAUGCAAGUCGAACGGAAAGGCCCUGCUUUUGUGGGGUGCUCGAGUGGCGAACGGGUGAGUAACACGUGAGUAACCUGCCCUUGACUUUGGGAUAACUUCAGGAAACUGGGGCUAAUACCGGAUAGGAGCUCCUGCUGCAUGGUGGGGGUUGGAAAGUUUCGGCGGUUGGGGAUGGACUCGCGGCUUAUCAGCUUGUUGGUGGGGUAGUGGCUUACCAAGGCUUUGACGGGUAGCCGGCCUGAGAGGGUGACCGGCCACAUUGGGACUGGGUUACGGCCCAGACUCUUCCGGGAGGCAGCGGUGGGGAAUAUUGCACAAUGGGCGGAAGCCUGAUGCAGCAACGCCGCGUGCGGGAUGACGGCCUUCGGGUUGUAACCGCUUUCGCCUGUGACGAAGCGUGAGUGACGGUAAUGGGUAAAGAAGCACCGGCUAACUACGUG
rnacentral:rRNA from 1 species